UUUUUUCCCCUUUUAAUCGCAUACCGUAAUAUUAUGCAGGAAUUUUCACUGUAAAUGAUGAUUCAAACAAAUUCUUAUGCAAGAAUUUUGAUUGUUAAG